UGGGGAAUUUUGGACAAUGGGCGAAAGCCUGAUCCAGCAAUGCCGCGUGUGUGAAGAAGGCCUUCGGGUUGUAAAGCACUUUUGUCCGGAAAGAAAUCCUUGGCUCUAAUACAGUCGGGGGAUGACGGUACCGGAAGAAUAAGCACCGGCUAACUACGUGCCAGCAGCCGCGGUAAUACGUAGGGUGCAAGCGUUAAUCGGAAUUACUGGGCGUAAAGCGUGCGCAGGCGGUUUGCUAAGACCGAUGUGAAAUCCCCGGGCUCAACCUGGGAACUGCAUUGGUGACUGGCAGGCUAGAGUAUGGCAGAGGGGGGUAGAAUUCCACAUGUAGCAGUGAAAUGCGUAGAGAUGUGGAGGAAUACCGAUGGCGAAGGCAGCCCCCUGGGCCAAUACUGACGCUCAUGCACGAAAGCGUGGGGGAGCAAAACAGGAUUAGAUACCCUGGUAGUCCGCGCCCUAAACGAUGUCAACUAGUUGUUGGGGAUUCAUUUCCUUAGUAACGUAGCUAACGCGUGAAGUUGACCGCCUGGGGAGUACGGUCGCAAGAUUAAAACUCAAAUGAAUUGACGGGGUCAUAGCUG
rnacentral:rRNA from 1 species